rnacentral:tRNA from 1 species
GGCGGAGUAGCUCAGACGGUUAGAGCAGCGGAAUCAUAAUCCGCGUGUCGGGGGUUCGAAUCCCUCCUCCGCUA